GUAAAGGAAAACAAGAGAAAAAGUCAAAUAUUUUUCCUUGCUGAGGUAUUUAAAAUGUAGACCCUUCUUUCUGGGACCUCAAUUUGGAAUCCGCCAGGCAUGGAGGCGGGGUGGUGGGUCAGGCUGUCGCAGUGUGGAAUGCCCCUUCUCAGUUCCAGCCUACACUGUGCAAACCAGUUAGGGGUCUGUAGGUGAGCUCCCCCCUCUUGCCCUUGUAAGGUUAUCCAUAAAAGGGCUAAAUCCCAUUCUCAAGGCUUUUGUCUUUGUACCCAGGGAUGGGGCUUGGUGACAGUAGGAGCCUCCUGCUAGCCCCUCUCACACACCAAGCCUGGAGACUGAUGGGAUUUGCACACCCUUGACUCAAAGACUCAGUGUGCUCAGGGCAUAACUAAUGUCCAAGCCAUUGCAGUGUGUCCUCUGAAUGCUUCUGAGCAUGGAAGAAGUGACCACAUCAGUGGGAUCUGCACCGGGUGGGAUGUUGUGGGAACCAAGACUCUGCCAAUCCUAGCCACAGCGCUCCCAGACCCAACCCCUUUGUGAAUCUUAACACACCUGGUUUCACGGAGGCCAACUCACCAAUUUUAAAUGGAAAUGCCUUCUGCUCCCCUGUGCCUCAUGGGCCACAAUUCCCACUGUCUAGAAUUCUCCAAAGAUCUUUAUCACAGUCACGUCCCUGGACCUAAACUGACUCUCAGUGUUGGCAACCACAGAGCCAGUGAAAAGAAGAGGCUGUUAGGUCCAAGAUACGUAAAAAAAUACAGGGACUUCUUACCUCCCUCCCAAGCAGUUAAGUCCAUUCCAUGAGACCUUCUGAAGAUGGCUCCCUGUUACAGCACCAUAUGAACUUGGUGGAAACGCUGGGGACCUCUUCUCCUGCAACAGCCCACCUGUGCAGCUCCCAGGUCUCAUGUUUGCCAGGUGGCAAACUCUGUUGUCCUGGACUCUGUUGUCACUGGGACUCUUCAGCCUGCUGAAGGGUGUCUUCCUCCCAGCACAGGGCCCAUCCCGGUGUCAGUGUACUCUCUUCUAAAAUCCAAUAUUUGGGGAAUCACCUACAGCUAUAUUCUAGCACUUUCCUAUGAACCCCCCACCACUACCUCAAUGCACACCUGUUGAUUUGGUUCGAUCUCAUGGGACAGCAGGUUAGAGCUGAGUACCUCUGAACUGUCAUCAUCUUGCCAAGUCAUUUUAGAGUUCCUGGAUGAGUCCUGUGAUAGUGUUUUGUUAUUUGGAUUGGAGUGGGUUUUUUGUUUGGUUGAUUUUUUUUUUAAUUGUUCUAACUAGUUAUAUAUGCCAGCAGAAUGCAUUUUGAUUCAUUGUGCAAAAAUGGACCACAACUUUCAUUUCUCUGGUUGUACAUGCCAUUCAUGCAAACAUACCAAGGGUAAUGAUGCCCAUCUCAUUCCACCAUCUUACCUACACCCAUGCCCCUUCCCCUCCUCUCACUGACCUCUGUUCAAUUCAAAGUUCCCCCAUGCCUUUAUUCAUGGAUAAAUAUGGAUCAGCAUCCAAUUAUCAGAGAAAAC
rnacentral:lncRNA from 1 species